UGAGGUGCGGAAUACUGCGAAUCGCCUAUUCGUCGCUGCCAUUAGAGUGAAGUUGUCCUGCAUAAAACACAACCUCCACUCGAUCAAAAAAUAGACGAUGUCAGUGAAUGAAUAUGUUACGAAAAUACAAAACACCUACGCUUUGCUCGAGGCAUCUGGAUUUGCGGUACCAAAGACAGAGAAGGUGGAAAUCAUUCUUGUCGGCCUCUCAUUGGACUACGAUACCAUUCUCACAUUAGCCUCAUUCUCGAUUGAACCGCUUCCUCUUUAAAAGCUCAUCCAUGUGCUCCUCAAUUUUGAGAAUAGAC
rnacentral:lncRNA from 1 species